AGAGCGGAGCAGCCCUUCCUCUCCCUCGCUCUCCCUCACCGCCUUCAAAUGAUCACCGCCGGCUCACUCCCCUCACACCCGAGCUAUCAGCAGCAGCACCACCGUAAGCGUUGCAUCGCGGCGGCGGGCAAGGCGGCGGCGGCGGCGGCGGCGGCGGCAGCCCGCGCAUCCAGGUGCCGGCGGGCGGGCGGGCGGCGGCGGCGGCGGCGGCGGGGCGAGCCGAGCCCCUAGUCACCAGUUUCAUACAAAACCAAAAGCAGGUCGAAGCAUUUCCUGCAGGACUCCGAGCCCAGCGACUUCCAGCCUUUCGGCUUCUUUUGAUGCAUUGAAGAAGGGAUUAAUGGUAAAUCGACGUGUUUUAACACAGAACCUCAGGGCUUUUUUUUUUCAGCCUGUGGAUUGUCUGCUCGGUACUCUGAAAUCAAGAAUAUAUCUGCCAUCGAUGCUUACGAAUGCAGACAGUCAGCCAUAGCGGCGUGCACAUUAGGGAGUUUGUUUGAACCCAGAAUAUUUUAUCCAGCAAGAUAUGAAGCACUUCCUUCCUGUGGUCUAACAUCUUUAGGCUAACGUAAGACACUGAUCAGUCUGAGGAUGGUUAGCAUGGCAGAAAGGAGAUCAACCACUUGGAGACCAAUUUGAGCACUAUGGAACAUUUCAAACUGAGAUUACAAAAUGAAAACAGACAAGUAUGAAAAUAUUUCUAACAGUUUUGUCAGAAACAGUAGUGUACAGUCUCCCGUUGAGAGCUAAGUGAAGGAGUGGACACUUUUUUUUAACGGACAGAAGAAAAGCUUUUGCCUCUGAACUGUGUUAUGCUGGUGUUUCAAUCACAAGAAAAUAAAAAAAAAAUCUGCCUUGCU